rnacentral:snRNA from 1 species
AGAAGCGUCCUCAGCGACG